CACAGACUCGACAGCUGUGAAGUUGCGCUGUCAUAAAUUAAUGAAUCAGUCGGUGAGAUCCUUCCCACCCGGCGUAAUACAUCAUCACUUGUGAUGUGGCGUCACCACAUCAAAUACGUAAGCCAACUAGGGCAUAACACAAAAUCCCUCCCAUCCUUACAGAAGGUAACAAAAAGCCUUUUGAAAUUGUCUUCUCAUCCCUGUCUCUCUCCCUCUCUCUGUUCCAUCAUAAAUUUAAAGGGAAGAGGCAUAUUUCAGGUUUGUGCAUGAAUCUAAUAUAGCUAAAAAAUCCCAUCAAACAGAAAUUAAAAUACUAGAUAGUACUCAGCACUAGUUAAGUAUAGUAUUAGAUUCACGCACAAACUCGUAAUCUGUCUUUUUCAAUUCCUUUCCUCUUCUUUUUUAUCUUCCCAGCAGGCAGGCCGCUCUUGUUCUUCCAUGGAUUUUCUUGUCUCUUCUGCUUCAAAUCUUGAUGUCCUUUGGCGCUGUUGGCUUUGGGGAUCAUCUUUCAGUCAAGUUCAGAAUCCCAUGUCAAUAAUUUUAGCAAUUGAACAUUUUAAUGGUGGUUCUUUAUCAACUACCCGUCAAGGAGAAAAACGUGAUUUGGUAAGUCGGGCUACCCAGUUUGAUUAUUGAUACGAGGCUUGAUCAGUUCCCUGAAUUAGCUAAUAAGCUGGCGAUUUUAUUUAAUUUGAAGCAUACAAUAGCUUAAUUCUGUAUGAAAAUUUGUUUAAAAAUCUGGAUAGGUUAGUUACAUUUCAAUUUCUAUUUGAAUGAACUCUAUUAUUCCAAAGGGCUCAUUAAUGCUAAUGCUCUGCAACGCAUUGUUUA